rnacentral:lncRNA from 1 species
AGCCUGUAUUUUAUAUGAAAUAUAUUUUUAAAUUUAAAAGAUAUAUCAUUAAAUAUUUAAGAUAUGUAUAAACUGUAAAUUAUAUCUAAUAUACACAAAUCCUAUAAAAUAUCUAAUAUAUCUAGAAAAAAUCUUGGAGUUAAUGCGUUUCAAGUUUUGUUUCUUCUUAAUCGAUUUACGAUAUUUGAACAUUGAUGAACUACUGUCGCCUUAAUCUAUAACCUUUCGAACAUUUGCGAUAUCUUACAAAUAUUUUUAAAGAUAUCUUCUAAAAGUAAAGAUAUCUAAUAAAGUAAAAAGACAUUUAAGUUGAAUAAAUAUAAAUGCAGCGUGCCAUACUGUU